AUGAGGUCAGGUGGAAGUGUGUUCUUAGAGAAUGCAUGCAUCUCUAAGAUGAUAAAGGAAUUUAGCUCUAUACAGGAUGACGCACCAAGAUGGGUAUUACAGAGAGCUAAAACUUAUUUGGAACAUGAUAUGAUAUUCGUUCCAGUUAUUGAAGAGUUUCAUUGGUACCUAGCAGUUAUAAAUACCGGGAAGCGAUGUAUCCAGGUGCUCGACUCGGUAGGCCCAGGAAUGAACCGCAAAGACUUCACUACUAUGCUGAAAGGACUGGAAAAUGUAUUCCAAUAUGCUAAGCUUCAAAUGGAACUAAAAUCUGAUAAGUGGAAAGACUUAAACAUCAGUGCAUGGCCAAGGGAAGAGUGUAUUAAGAGCAGACUGCAGACAGAUGGAACAAAACUAGCAGUCAUUUUAGUGGACUCGGAAUUGAAUGAUGAUAAUAUAAGAAAUCGAGACAUUGAAGAUGACGAAAACAACACAGAUCCCACGGAUUGUAUGAUUCUGGAAACACCCCCUGAGAACCUCAAACCAUUGAGUACAUUGUCAGAAGUUGAGCUCAUCUCGCAAUCAUUUAUCCUUUCGCCCUCUCUCACUCCAACAUAUGAUAACUUAAUAGAUGAACUUUGUUUGUUCAUCGACUCGCGUCAUCGUGACAAUAUGGACAUUGCUAUGUUGAAAUCGAUGUUUGAUAGCUGGCCAGACAGUAAUGAGUAUCAUAUUUCAUAG
rnacentral:rRNA from 1 species